rnacentral:rRNA from 1 species
GUACGAAGGGGGCUAGCGUUGUUCGGAAUUACUGGGCGUAAAGCGCGUGUAGGCGGGUCUUUUAAGUCAGGGGGUGAAAUGCCGAAAGGCUCAACCUUGGAACUGCCUUUAUACUGGAGAUCUUAGUCCGGGAGAGGUGAGUGGAACUGCGAGUGUAGAGGGUGAAAUUCGUAGAUAUUCGCAAGAACACCAGUGGCGAAGGCGCUCACUGGCC